GACGAACGCUGGCGGCGUGCUUAACACAUGCAAGUCGAACGGAAAGGCCCUGCUUUUGUGGGGUGCUCGAGUGGCGAACGGGUGAGUAACACGUGAGUAACCUGCCCUUGACUUUGGGAUAACUUCAGGAAACUGGGGCUAAUACCGGAUAGGAGCUCCUGCUGCAUGGUGGGGGUUGGAAAGUUUCGGCGGUUGGGGAUGGACUCGCGGCUUAUCAGCUUGUUGGUGGGGUAGUGGCUUACCAAGGCUUUGACGGGUAGCCGGCCUGAGAGGGUGACCGGCCACAUUAGGACUAAGAUACGGCCCAGACUCCUACGGGAGGCAGCAGUGGGGAAUAUUACACAAUGGGCGGGAGCCUGAUGCAGCAACGCCGCGUGCGGGAUGACGGCCUUCGGGUUGUAAACCGCUUUCGCCUGUGACGAAGCGUGAGUAACGGUAAUGGGUAAAGAAGCACCGGCUAACUACGUG
rnacentral:rRNA from 1 species